rnacentral:rRNA from 1 species
GUGCCAGCCGCCGCGGUAAUACGUAGGGGGCAAGCGUUAUCCGGAUUUACUGGGUGUAAAGGGUUCGUAGGCGGUUAUUUAAGUCAGAUGUGAAAGCCCGAGGCUCAACCUCAGGACUGCAUUUGAAACUGGAUAACUAGAGUACAGGAGAGGAAAGCGGAAUUCCUAGUGUAGCGGUGAAAUGCGUAGAUAUUAGGAAGAACACCAGUGGCGAAGGCGGCUUUCUGGACUGUAACUGACGCUGAUGAACGAAAGCGUGGGGAGCGAACAGGAUUAGAAACCCUGGUAGUCC